ensembl:snRNA U6 U6 spliceosomal RNA
GUGCUCACUUUGGCAGGACAUAUAAUAAAAUUGGAAUGAUACAGAGAAGAUUAGCAUGGCCCCUGCACAAAAAUGACAUGCAAAUUCGUGAAGUGUUCCAUUUUUGA